rfam:Polysphondylium pallidum PN500 unplaced genomic scaffold PPL_scaffold9, whole genome shotgun sequence.
GCAAGCUUAGGAAAGUGGUUAAAUCCGCUAGACUCAAGUUCUAGUCCGCAAGGUUCGGGAGUUCGAAUCUCCCAGCUUGCA